rnacentral:lncRNA from 1 species
GGCGUCGCGGGCACAGGGUGAGGGCGGCCGUUACUGGAGUUCAGCUUCGGGAAGGAGGACGCUGAGGAGGCGCCGAGCCGCGGAGCGCUUCUGGGGAGGCGCCCGCGCAGACUCGAGGCCCAUAGCCAGGACCACCACCUAGCUGGUGAGCGCGCGGCGAGGCGGGGCGGCCCGGGGUCCCGAGGGCCGGGUGCCGCCUUACCUGCGGCCGGGCCGGGGACGGCGGGCGCCGGCCGAGGGCGCUGCUUGGCCGCGGCGGGGAGCCCGGGCCUGGGUUGCGGCGGGCGCCGGCCUGGCCGGGGGCGCUGACAGACGCGCGGAGGGCGGGGGAGGCCGGGAGGUGUCACCCGGCCCAGCGGGGUGGAAGUGCCUGGAAAGUUUGUUUUCAGCUCGGCGCAGCCUGGAGCCGAGCCUCCAGGGUUACCUUUCGGUUCUGUCUGUAGAGGAACCGCCCUGGGCUUCCACCUGGAACGGCGUCCUUGGCGCCUCCGCCUGCGAGAGAAGCAGAAGGUGCAAGUUCUUGCUCAAAGCACCUGAUGCUCCUGGGCCCCCUUUUCCAGAUUCUUGAUGACAUUGGUUGGGAAAACGCCUUUCACGGCCCGGCCAAGGGGCAUUUGGGUGCUUUUGCUGCCCGUGGCUGUGCUCAGCGUUGUGGGAAGCCCCUGGGCGGCCGAAUGUGCAGGAUCACCGAGGGGAAAGUGAGCUUGACAGUUCUACAGUCUGGGGACCAUGGUUUAAGAAUUUAUGCCUUGUAUGCGAUGUGCAGUGGGUGAUGGAAGAACGUCUACAUGGCUUUAAAAUUGGAUUUAAAAGGCAAAUAUUUUAAAUGAAGGAAAACCCAAGAAGUUUACUUGAUUCCUUAUCUUCCAGGAUGCGGCUUUUAUUUAUUUAUUUAUUUUAUUUUGAUGGAGUCUCGCUGCCGUCGCGCAGGCUGGAGUGCAGUGACGCGAUCUUGA